GCCACAUAUAUAGCAAUAGAAAAGCAAUAUAGCACGUCGAGUCGAGUAGGGUCGGUCGAGUUAGUCGAGCACACGAGUAUCAAACUUUUAGUCGUAUCAUUUUCAUAAUUUAAAGCGUGAGCCAUGAAUCCAUAAAUCCAAAUCCGAAAAAUAAAAAAAAUGUGCUAAUUUUCUCAUAACCCUCGACGCGACAUAAAAGUUGGGCAGGAAAUUUUCGGCAUUUUUUUUUGUAAUAAAAUUUUUUCCUCGCGGAUUAAAGAGCGCAAAUCAAAAAUUGAAACUUUCAAAGCAGAAAAAGAACACAUUUUUCACUCGCCGCCCAGUGUGUGAAAAAAAGUUGUCGAAGGUGCGUGAAUCAUUGAAGAGCUGAACUGCUUACCCUUAAUCAAGUAAAGUGUGGUCAGGAUAAAGCAACAAAUUUUCAAACUAAAUUCUUAGAACCAAAACCAAACCAAGAUAAAGAAAAUAAAAUGCCACAUCACUGCGUUCUAACAUCUUGCUCUAGCCAUUACAACUGCAUACAUGACAUCCACAUUUGCUACCACAAAUACAAGUACUGCAGCCAUUCCUGCUGUACCUGCAGUUGCUAUCACCGACAUAGAUGCUGCUAUUGUUGGAGAAGAUCAACAUCAACUGACCGUUUAUUUCAUUCCAUUUAGAUAGUAGACAAAAAUCUCCAAAACACCCAUGUACGUCAUUAGGAAGAUAGUUCAAAAUACGACUGCACAUUUUCGAUGGAAUUCAACAACCAACACAGUAAAAAAAAGGAAGAUACAAAAUAUUCAUCAAAUCAUCGUCAAUCAAAGUACAAAGCACCAAAAUCCAAACCUUGUGUCAUUCUUCUUUGCUAUGAAUAAAGUGUGAAUCGAUAUAACACAAUGCACUCAAAUAGAGGAAAACAAAAUAUUCAAUUAUUAAAAAAAAAAACAAGUUCUUCAAAAGGUUUUUGAUGCAUAGAAAACCUGACACGAAGGAAGUUCCAUAAUUGAAUAGUUAUCAAACAGAUUUUAUCAAAAAUUGUACGUGUAUUUAUAUAAUUUGUGAAAAAAGGAUCCUUUUAAAUAGUAACUCAUUUGCAGAACACAUUUUCAAGGUAUCACAUAUGAACUUAUAAUAUUUUAUAUUUUAAUAAUAAGUUUAAGUGUUAUUAUUUCCUAAUUUGCCUACGCUUAAGCGAGUUUGAUUUUUUUUUUUGUUGAAAUCACAUUCACUCGAUUAAUAA